UGGCUCAUAUUGAACGCUGGCGGCAGGCCUAACACAUGCAAGUCGAACGGUAGCACAGAGAGCUUGCUCUCGGGUGACGAGUGGCGGACGGGUGAGUAAUGUCUGGGAAACUGCCUGAUGGAGGGGGAUAACUACUGGAAACGGUAGCUAAUACCGCAUAACGUCGCAAGACCAAAGAGGGGGACCUUCGGGCCUCUUGCCAUCAGAUGUGCCCAGAUGGGAUUAGCUAGUAGGUGGGGUAACGGCUCACCUAGGCGACGAUCCCUAGCUGGUCUGAGAGGAUGACCAGCCACACUGGAACUGAGACACGGUCCAGACUCCUACGGGAGGCAGCAGUGGGGAAUAUUGCACAAUGGGCGCAAGCCUGAUGCAGCCAUGCCGCGUGUAUGAAGAAGGCCUUCGGGUUGUAAAGUACUUUCAGCGGGGAGGAAGGCGAUAAGGUUAAUAACCUUGUCGAUUGACGUUACCCGCAGAAGAAGCACCGGCUAACUCCGUGCCAGCAGCCGCGGUGAUACGGAGGGUGCAAGCGUUAAUCGGAAUUACUGGGCGUAAAGCGCACGCAGGCGGUCUGUCAAGUCGGAUGUGAAAUCCCCGGGCUCAACCUGGGAACUGCAUUCGAAACUGGCAGGCUAGAGUCUUGUAGAGGGGGGUAGAAUUCCAGGUGUAGCGGUGAAAUGCGUAGAGAUCUGGAGGAAUACCGGUGGCGAAGGCGGCCCCCUGGACAAAGACUGACGCUCAGGUGCGAAAGCGUGGGGAGCAAACAGGAUUAGAUACCCUGGUAGUCCACGCCGUAAACGAUGUCGACUUGGAGGUUGUGCCCUUGAGGCGUGGCUUCCGGAGCUAACGCGUUACCCCGUCCUCCUGGUUUC
rnacentral:rRNA from 1 species